rnacentral:rRNA from 1 species
CCUACGGGAGGCAGCAGUAAGGAAUAUUGGUCAAUGGGCGCAAGCCUGAACCAGCCAUGCCGCGUGCAGGAAGACGGCCCUAUGGGUUGUAAACUGCUUUUGAACAAGAGAAAACCUCGGUACGUGUACCGAGCUGAUAGUAUUGUUAGAAUAAGCAUCGGCUAACUUCGUGCCAGCAGCCGCGGUAAGACGAAGGAUGCAAGCGUUAUCCGGAUUCAUUGGGUUUAAAGGGUGCGUAGGCGGCCUGAUAAGUCAGUGGUGAAAUCUCUCAGCUUAACUGAGAAACUGCCAUUGAUACUGUCGGGCUUGAGUACAGAUGAUGUGGGCGGAAUAUGACAUGUAGUGGUGAAAUACUUAGAUAUGUCAUAGAACACCGAUUGCGAAGGCAGCUCACAAAACUGUAACUGACGCUGAGGCACGAAAGUGCGGGGAUCAAACAGGAUUAGAUACCCUGGUAGUCCGCACCGUAAACGAUGAUUACUCGUUGUUGGCGAUAUGACCGUCAGCGACCAAGCGAAAGCGAUAAGUAAUCCACCUGGGGAGUACGCCGGCAACGGUGAAACUCAAAGGAAUUGACGG